UUUAAGAUAAGAAAUAAGUAUUUCCCAUUUAAUGUGGACAUCUUUUACUUUAGAUUCAAAGUGGAUCUCCGUUGGGUUCGGAACAGCUGCGGCGCUGAUCUUCGCAUGUCUAGUUGCAGUUUGUUGGCUGAUUCUCAAACGCCGAUGGGUGACUAAAGCGCAAGUACAGCCAUCCGAAACAGCAACGCAUCCAAGUAAAAAGUACAUUUUUGGUGUUGACUUGGAUGAAGAUCAAGGAAGACACCCAACUGCAAAUCAAAUGAAGCUACGUGGAGAUGUCUUUGCCUGGAACAGUGAUUUUAAGUGCGAAUCAAAAGUUUAAAAGGGCUUUUAGGAUGCAAAUUUGAACGGGUUUUACAGGCUACCUGUGUCGCUGAAUUGGGAACGUUUUUAUGUUCGUUUUAAUUACGAUUGUAAUAAACAGUUUUAGUUACUAAAAUUAUAGCAUUAUUGUUCUUGAAUGGAGGUCGGUGUAUCGAAAUCUCUCGUCAUUAUUAGAUGUUUUAAGGUGUAAGUAAAUUGAAAAAUAUACCUAUUGUUUUGACUCUUUUAAAAAUUCUAUAGUUUAAUAUAAGUGGUAUAUAAGUGAUUGUAAAACUUGACACAUAAAAUUAUAGUUUUGAAUAUGGUCAUAUUUUACAACUGAAAACAUUAUUGCCUCCUUAAUUAUGUAUGUCAAACUUUAUUUGAAAUAUGUGUUCUGUGGAUCAUUUCAAGUAACAUUAGAUAAAUGUGGCAAUAGAUCAAUUUUGAUUAUGCAUUUUUCUGUUUCAAGCAGAAUUGUUAUAAUGAUCACGCAAUGCGUUAAGUAGGACUAUAUGUUACGAUUGAAACUUACAAUGUGUGUAUUUCCUGGCAAUUUAGAUUAAAGGAUGCUU